GAUGAACGCUGGCGGCGUGCCUAACACAUGCAAGUCGAACGGAGAUUACGGACGGAAGUUUUCGGAUGGAAGACUGUAAUUCUUAGUGGCGGACGGGUGAGUAACGCGUGGGCAACCUGCCCUAUACAGGGGGAUAGCAGCUGGAAACGGCUGGUAAGACCGCAUAAGUCGGUUAAAUCGCAUGAUUUGAUCGGGAAAUGAGCAAUCAGGUAUAGGAUGGGCCCGCGUCCGAUUAGCCAGUUGGCAGGGUAAAAGCCUACCAAAGCGACGAUCGGUAGCCGGACUGAGAGGUCGGACGGCCACAUUGGGACUGAGACACGGCCCAAACUCCUACGGGAGGCAGCAGUGGGGGAUAUUGCACAAUGGAGGAAACUCUGAUGCAGCGACGCCGCGUGAGUGAAGAAGUAUUUCGGUAUGUAAAGCUCUAUCAGCAGGGAAGAUGAUGACGGUACCUGACUAAGAGGCCCCGGCUAACUACGUG
rnacentral:rRNA from 1 species